GCUGCUGUAGCUCAGUGGUAGAGCGCACCCUUGGUAAGGGUGAGGCCGGGAGUUCAAUUCUCCCCAGCAGCACCA
rnacentral:tRNA from 1 species